UGAUGGUGGAAGUGAAGAAAAACAUUGAUUUUCAGAGAAACAAAUUAGCAUUUGCCGAAGUCCGAUAGAGGCAAAUAGAGGAUUGUGAAUGAAAUAUUAAAAAAACAACUUCAUCGAAACCAGAACUCACAUCCUAAUAGUGUAGCUGUUUGUCUAAUUUAAAUCUAAAUGCUAGGAACUAGUCGGGUCGGAGUGAUAAAAUCUGCGCUGCAUUCAGCGCUGAUGUAGGACUUCGGUUACUUACGUAAGCUGAUGUCAAUACGGCCUCACCCCACAUGGAUUUGUCCAUUCCUGCCUCGUGCACCAUCGAUCGCGAUUUUUCCAACAGUGUACGGUUCAUCCUUUCUGCCACUUCGUUCUGCUGUGGACUGUACGGAACGGUGGCCUCCACGCUGAUACCCUGAGUGCGACAAAACUUGCGAAAUAUUUUUCCGGUAUAUUCUCCUCCGUUGUCGCACCUCAGACGUGACACUCGACUCCCAAAGAACGCCGUAACUCUGGCGCAGUACUCCUCUAACUUUGAUUGAACCUCAUUGUAGCAUACUCAAUCUUGUUGAUUAAUUUAUUCAUCUCGAAAUUCCUCUGAAACAACUUCAACAUGUUUGGAUCAGACCUCACAUGUACAUUUCAUUUAACAAGUCAUAAAUUGCAAUUGGAUACAACUGCCUUUAGCAACAUUACACUCAAGUGCAUGUGUAGUCAAAUUUAUUAACAGACCUACUUUCGUAGCGACCUCCUUUGAAUUUAUUACAUGCACAUGUUUUCCUUACUUGAACCAUAAUAUGUUUUGGACACUUUUAAACAAAAGCUCAAAUUACCAUCCAAUUCAAGCUACGUGUUCUCAUUCUUUCUUGACAUACAUUCUAUGUUAUGAGCAGUCAUCAA